GACGAACGCUGGCGGCGUGCCUAAUACAUGCAAGUCGAACGCAGUGGGGACGGGUGAGUACCACGUGGGUAACCUCCCAUCAGAGGGGAGAACACUUGGAAACAGGUGCUAAACCGAUACUGAUGGAUGGACCCGCGGUGCAUUUGCUAGUGGGGGAGGUAACGGCGCACCAAGGCCACGAUGCAGAGAAGAUCUGAGAGGGUGAUCGGCCACACUGGGACUGAUACACGGACCAGAAUCCUACGGGAGGCAGCAGUAGGGAAUAUUCGGCAAUGGACGAAAGUCUGACCGAGCAACGCCGCGUGAGUGAAGAAGGUUUGCGGAUCGUAAAACUCUGUUGUUAGAGAAGCGGUAUCUAACCAGAAAGCCACGGCUAACUACGUGCCAGCAGCCGCGGUAAUUC
rnacentral:rRNA from 1 species